CGCCGGGGCUGUCCACCCGGAAGACGACCGCCUUCACGUGGUCGUCACGGCGGGCCGCGCGCAGGGCGGCGCUGAUCGUGUCGGCGCCCACCGC
rnacentral:tRNA from 1 species